UACAGAGGGGGCAAGCGUUAUUCGGAUUUACUGGGCGUAAAGGGCGCGUAGGCGGUCAGCACAAGUCAAUUGUGAAAUCUCCGAGCUUAACUCGGAAAGGUCAACUGAAACUGUGCGACUAGAGUGCGGAAGGGGCAACUGGAAUUCUUGGUGUAGCGGUGAAAUGCGUAGAUAUCAAGAGGAACACCUGCGGCGAAGGCGGGUUGCUGGGCCGACACUGACGCUGAAGCGCGAAAGCCAGGGGAGCGAACGGG
rnacentral:rRNA from 1 species